rnacentral:rRNA from 1 species
AACGAACGCUGGCGGCAGGCCUAACACAUGCAAGUCGAACGCUCCGCAAGGGGAGUGGCGCACGGGUGAGUAACGCGUGGGAAUAUGCCCUUCGGUUCGGAAUAACACAGGGAAACUUGUGCUAAUACCGGAUACGAUCUACGGAUGAAAGAUUCAUCGCCGAAGGAGUAGCCCGCGUAGGAUUAGCUAGUUGGUGAGGUAAUGGCUCACCAAGGCGACGAUCCUUAGCUGGUCUGAGAGGAUGAUCAGCCACACUGGGACUGAGACACGGCCCAGACUCCCACGGGAGGCAGCAGUGGGGAAUAUUGGACAAUGGGCGAAAGCCUGAUCCAGCCAUGCCGCGUGAGUGAUGAAGGCCUUAGGGUUGUAAAGCUCUUUCGCCAGGGAAGAUAAUGACGGUACCUGGAAAAGAAGCCUCGGCUAACUACGUGCCAGCAGCCGCGGUAACAC